CAUCGUCGUCAUUUCGUCUUUAUACACUCCAAGGCGUUUUCUGUGCUCUGUUUUACAUAUUUCAGUGUUAAACAACAUGUUAAUUAUUUUUAAUGGUCAAAUUGUGCUGCCUCUUGUACUGAUAAGCAAAAAUAGCGUUAAAUUGAAAAGGGCAUAGAGCAUGUGGACUACUCGACUUUUUUCAGUAGUAAAUGAUGCUGUCAAAUUUUGACGAGAUGAUAGCCAAUGUUACAACAAGUGGCAAUUUGUAGUGAGAUUGUUAGAAUUUGUUUUAGAUGGUGGAAGAAGGAGAGCAUGAGGAAGUCAGUGAGUAAUGGAAUAGACAUAAACCCGGAACAUCAGAUAAAAGUAUAUUUUUAGAAAUGAACGAGAAAAUUAGCUUUUAUUACUAACAUCUUCCCACAUAUCUGGAUCCAUCAAACAACAUUAUAAUGCAACAUCGUUAACACACUUUUUCAAGGUAAAAUUCAACUUAAAUUAACAUAAAACGUUGUCACCGAACCAAUUCUAUUUCAAUAUUUGAUAGCCAAUAAAAUUAAUUAUAUUCAACUGCAUGUUUUAAUCGAAAUACCUAAGAAAGCUGAUAAUUAAAGAUGUAAGCAAAUAUAAAUCUUACUAGCAAAGGUAUCGA